rnacentral:rRNA from 1 species
AGCGAACGCUGGCGGCAGGCUUAACACAUGCAAGUCGAACGGCAGCACAGUAAGAGCUUGCUCUUACGGGUGGCGAGUCGCGGACGGGUGAGGAAUAUAUCGUAAUCUACUCUUUCGUGUGGGUUAACGUAGCGAAACUUACUCUAAUACCGCAUACCACCUACGGUUGAAAGCAUGGGAUCUUCUGACCUUGCGCGAUUGAAUGAGCCGAUGUCGGAUUAGAUAGUUGGCGGGGUAAAGGCCCACCAUGGCGCCGAUCCGUAGCUCGUCUGAGUGGAGGGUAGGCGACACGGGAACGGGGACACGGACAAGGCUACUGCGGGAGGGAGCAGUGGGGAAUAGUGGACAAUAGGCGCAAGCCUGAUCCAGCCGGACCGCGUGGGUGGAGGAAACCUUCGGGUUGUGAAGACCUUUUGUUGGGAAAGAAAAGCAGCAGGUUAAUACCCCGCUGUUCUGACGGUAACCAAAGAAUAAGCACCGGCUAACUUCGUG